GGACCCGCACAAGUAGUGGAGCAUGUGGUUUAAUUCGAAGAUACGCGCAGAACCUUACCAGGGCUUAAAUGUAGUGGGACAGGUCUAGAGAUAGACCCUUCUUCGGACUCAUUACAAGGUGCUGCAUGGUUGUCGUCAGCUCGUGCCGUGAGGUGUCAGGUUAAGUCCUAUAACGAGCGCAACCCCUAUCGUUAGUUGCCAGCGAGUAAUGUCGGGAACUCUAACGAAACUGCCAGUGCAAACUGUGAGGAAGGUGGGGAUGACGUCAAAUCAUCACGGCCCUUACGUCCUGGCUACACACGUGCUACAAUGGCCGGUACAGAGAGCAGCCACUUCGCAAGAAGGAGCGAA
rnacentral:rRNA from 1 species